GAGUUUGAUCCUGGCUCAGAUUGAACGGCUGGCGGCAUGCCUUACACAUGCAAGUCGAACGGCAGCACGGGAGCUUGCUCCUGGUGGCGAGUGGCGAACGGGUGAGUAAUGCAUCGGAACGUAUCCUGGAUGGGGGAUAACGUAGCGAAAGUUACGCUAAUACCGCAUACUCUGUGAGCAGGAAAGCGGGGGACCUUCGGGCCUCGC
rnacentral:rRNA from 1 species